rnacentral:lncRNA from 1 species
CUUUAUUUAUGCCUCACAAAUCACAUAGAUCUUGUAAUUAAAAUGUUCUUUUUCUUAACCAAAUGACAAUGUUGUACAUGUAUUUUUUUUUUCACAACAGAAACAUUUCUGGUUGAUAAAAUUUUGUUGAGCUGAUAAAUGAUCUAGUUUCUCAUAAUCAAACAAUAAAAAAGUUUGAUUUUACCUCACUACAUAUUUUUCACUAAUACGUUCAAUAUUGAAUAUCACCUAAUUUUUCCCUGAUACAUUCAAUAUUUAAUUUUCAAAGUGGGCAUAAUGAUAAAAACUUUUUUUAAAUCAUUUAAAAAUAACAUUUUGUAUAAAAUAUGAUUUCCUAUCAUUCAGUAAAAUAAUAUUCAAGAAAAAAUAUAAAACUAAAAAUAAUACAAAAAUAUUUUCUAG